AGAGUUUGAUCCUGGCUCAGAUUGAACGCUGGCGGCAGGCCUAACACAUGCAAGUCGAGCGGUAGAGAGAAGCUUGCUUCUCUUGAGAGCGGCGGACGGGUGAGUAAUGCCUAGGAAUCUGCCUAGUGGUGGGGGAUAACGUUCGGAAACGGACGCUAAUACCGCAUACGUCCUACGGGAGAAAGCGGGGGACCUUCGGGCCUCGCGCCAUUAGAUGAGCCUAGGUCGGAUUAGCUAGUUGGUGAGGUAAUGGCUCACCAAGGCGACGAUCCGUAACUGGUCUGAGAGGAUGAUCAGUCACACUGGAACUGAGACACGGUCCAGACUCCUACGGGAGGCAGCAGUGGGGAAUAUUGGACAAUGGGCGAAAGCCUGAUCCAGCCAUGCCGCGUGUGUGAAGAAGGUCUUCGGAUUGUAAAGCACUUUAAGUUGGGAGGAAGGGUAGUAACUUAAUACGUUGCUACUUUGACGUUACCGACAGAAUAAGCACCGGCUAACUUCGUGCCAGCAGCCGCGGUAAUACGGAGGGUGCAAGCGUUGUUCGGAUUUACUGGGCGUAAAGGGCGCGUAGGCGGUCUUAUAAGUCAUAUGUGAAAGCCCACGGCUCAACCGUGGAAGUGCAUGUGAAACUGUGAGACUUGAGUAUGGGAGAGGAAAGUGGAAUUCCCGGUGUAGAGGUGAAAUUCGUAGAUAUCGGGAGGAAUACCGGUGGCGAAGGCGACUUUCUGGACCAAUACUGACGCUGAGGCGCGAAAGCGUGGGUAGCAAACAGGAUUAGAUACCCUGGUAGUCC
rnacentral:rRNA from 1 species